AUGGGAUGCGCUUCUAGCACUCAGACCACAGCUCAAGACACAACACGACCCAACGCCAAACAAGAUGGGAGCACAUCAGGAACAAAUAAUGAAAACGGUGGUCCUGCAGCAGACAGCAAGACAGUUCCAGACCAAACCCAGGCCGCGGAAUCUCCACAGACAUCCAGUGGAGCUCCUGUUGCCUCGGAGGAAAUACAGAGCUCUGCGGCUGCUGUAGCUCACAGUGAACCAGAAGCAGCUGCUGCUGAGGCCAUUACAUCUGACCAGCCUGCUGAACCCGAAUCAAACCCCUCCACAACAGCUGACAGUACCGAAGAACCAGCACCAAGUGAAAACACAACUGAGGCCCAGGCUGAAUCUUCCCCACCAGAGGAAGCACCUGCCUCUGGUGAAGACAGUUAA
ensembl:lncRNA